UACGGAGGAUGCAAGCGUUAUCCGGAUUUAUUGGGCGUAAAGCGUCCGCAGGUGGCUAUUCAAGUCUGCUGUCAAAGCUCGGAGCUUAACUCCGAAUCGGCGGUGGAAACUGAACAGCUAGAGUGCAGUAGGGGUAGAGGGAAUUCCCGAGUGUAGCGGUGAAAUGCGUAGAGAUUGGGAAGAACACCGGUGGCGAAAGCGCUACUACUGGACUGCAACUGACACUCAGGGACGAAAGCUAGG
rnacentral:rRNA from 1 species